rfam:Helianthus annuus linkage group 15, whole genome shotgun sequence.
AGGCCGUGAUGGGGACACUUGCGUAAUAGCUCCUUGAACCUUUCCCAAGUUUCAUAUAAGGAUUCCCCAUCCUCUUGUGAGUAUGUAUUAAUUUCAGUCAUUAAUUU